rnacentral:rRNA from 1 species
GACAGAGGUGCCAAGCGUUAGGCGGAAUCACUGGGCUUAAAGCGUGUGUAGGCGGAAUGGUAAGUACCUUGUGAAAUCCCACGGCUCAACCGUGGAACUGCUUGGUAUACUGCUUUUCUUGAGCCACUUAGGGGCAACCGGAACAAACGGUGGAGCGGUGAAAUGCGUAGAUAUCGAUCGGAACACCCAUGGCGAAGGCAGCUCGCUGGCCUGCAACUGACGCUGAGGCGCGAAAGCGUGGGGAGCAAACAGG